rnacentral:rRNA from 1 species
CAAUAGCGUAUAUUAAAGUUGUUGCAGUUAAAAAGCUCGUAGUUGGACCUUGGACCUGGACAGGCGGUCCGCCUCACGGCGAGUACUGUCUUGCUUGGUCUUUCCUCUUGGUGAUCUGUUGUUUCGGCAGCAGGGAACCAGGACCUUUACUUUGAAAAAAUUAGAGUGUUCAAAGCAGGCUCGACGCCGGAAUAUAUUAGCAUGGAAUAAUAAAAUAGGACGUGCGGUUCUAUUUUGUUGGUUUUUGGAAUCGCCGUAAUGAUUAAUAGGGACAGUCGGGGGCAUUAGUACUCACAUGCUAGAGGUGAAAUUCUUGGAUUUUGUGAAGACUAACUUCUGCGAAAGCAUUUGCCAAGGAUGUUUUCAUUA